GAGAAGUUUUAUUCUUGCUUCGUCGUUCAGUUUUUGUUUGUUCUAUAUGUGAGUUUGUGCGUAAUUUUUAAGGUGGUUCUAGAUGGGUCAUUGUUAUAUUAUUUAAUUCUCAUUAUUUGUUAUUGGUUGAUCAAGUGUUCUUGUAUCCAGCAAUACAUUUUAGUUUCGGUUAAAUUUUGUGCCAGCAGCCGCGGUUAUACUUUGGAAGCGUUUGAAUGUGUUCGGCAUUGGUAGUUGUAUGUUAUGUAUUUUGUGUUGACUAUGUUAUGGUGGUUGUUAGGUGAAAUUUUUUUUCGUUGUUGUUUGUCUUUUGUUUGUUUGGAGGCUAUGAAAUUCUUUUUGUAAACUAGGAUUAGAUACCCUAUUAUUUUGGAAUGUUAAUUGUUUAUGCUGGAGUAGUAUUAGUUAUGUUCUUGAAACUUAAAGAAUUUGGCGGUAUCUCAUUCCGUCCAGAGGAAUCUGUCUCGUUAUCGAUAGUCCGCGUUGGAUCUUACUUAGUUGCUUUGGUUUGUAUACCGCCGUUUGUUGAUUAUCUUUUUAGAGUUUAUGUAAUUUUCUUGAUUCUAUAUUUUGAUAUAUUUCAGGUCAAGGUGCAGCUUGUUUCUAAGUGAAUGAUGGAUUACAUUGUUAUUUGUUUUUGGAUUGUUUGUUUUGAUAUGGGCAUGAAAUUGGAUUUGGUUGUAAUAGUUUGUAGAUUGUUUCUAUGAUAAUUGGUUCUGGGAUAUGCACACAUCGCCCGUCGCUCUCGUUUGUCGUUAAUGAGAUAAGUCGUAACAAAGUGGUUGUACCGGAAGGUGCGGCUGGAUUGAU
rnacentral:ncRNA from 1 species